rnacentral:lncRNA from 1 species
CAGAGAGGGACAUGCGCAGUGAGUGCCUCCCGUCUCGUCUACCCGAACCCCCCUCCCCCCCAAGCAGAGAGACCCCAGCAGCAGCAGCAGCUGAUGAUGAAGAGAGAGGCAGUGGCAGAGGGGGGGCACCUUUUAUUUCUAUUUUUAAAGGGACAGGACACUAAUUCUAUCCCACUUCAACCUUGAAUUGAGGGGGGUGGGGGGAAGGCGGCUGAGUUCCUUCCCCCACCCUCCAGCCCUGAGCCCUGAGAGGGGGAUUGAGCCUGAGAGAGGAGGAGAAGGAGUUUCUUCUUCUUCGAAAACCCCCAUCCACGACUCCUACCCCCUCACCCCUCCAACUCGCCUCCCUCCCGAGCCCCCUCCACCCUCCUCCUCUUUGGCCGUGAGAGGAGGAGAGAAAGAAACCAAAAGCCUCUUAGCAACACAGACCCUUUGCUGCUGCUGCUGCUGCUGUUGCUGCUGCUACUGCUGCUGCUGCUGCUGCUGCUACUGCUGCUGCUUGGCCCUGGCUGGAGACAUCUCACUACACCCAGGAGCAGCCACUUCCCCAGCUCUCCUCCUCCUCCUUCGCCUCCUCCUCCUCCACUCCCCCCCUUUAUUACCCUUUGUGUCAUCCUCCACAGCUCCAGGGAAGGCACUCAAAAGUGGGGGGCAGGAAAGAUGUACAUUGAAGAUGUCAGUUUCUACAUGUGGGAAGUAGACAUUGAAGGCUUUAUGGUUUACAGACAAGAUCUUUAGGAGUUAAGCACUAAAGGACCAAGAAAAUAAAUACCAGAAAUCAACAAGAGCA